rnacentral:rRNA from 1 species
GUGUCAGCCGCCGCGGUAAGACAGAGGUGCCGAGCGUUAGGCGGAAUCACUGGGCUUAAAGCGUGUGUAGGCGGGUGCCUAAGUACCUUGUGAAAUCCCACGGCUCAACCGUGGAACUGCUCGGUAUACUGGGUGCCUUGAGCCAACUAGGGGCGACCGGAACAAACGGUGGAGCGGUGAAAUGCGUAGAUAUCGUUUGGAACGCCGAUGGUGAAAACAGGUCGCUGGGGUUGUGCUGACGCUGAGACACGAAAGCCAGGGGAGCGAACGGGAUUAGAUACCCCCGUAGUCC